CGUUCAGUUCCCAGCACACACAGAGGAAGGGUCUCUUACAGCAUCUUCUGGUCACCAUACAUACCACACACGCACAUGUGAUAUACACACAGACAAAUAUCAUACAUACACACAAAUAGAAAUAAUUUUAAAACAAUAAGAAGUGAAUUUUCCUAAAACAGACUGUAAGUAUAAGUACUGAAGCAGGCUGGGCAGUGGUGGCACACGCCUUUGAUCCCAGCACUCAGGAGGCAGAGGCAGGUGGAUUUCUAUGAGUCUGGGCCAGCCUGGUCUAUGGAGUGAGUUCCAGGACAGCAAGGAAGCCCUGUCUUGUGUAAAAAAAUGAACCUUUGUAAAGAGUAACAGUGGCAAGACCUGGGUGUUUGAUAAUGACAAAUCUGUAUCCAUGUGUGUUUAUAUGCUACUUUAUAUUCCAGGGGAAAAGUAUGGGAGGGCACACAUGGAUGGUGGGAAGUGGCUGACACAGUAGGUUAUGUGGAGUCAGGGAGAAGGAGAAGGAGAGGUUGGAAGUAAAAUAUGGAAAUGACUGAAAUAAGUACCAUAUCUCAAAUACCUGUGUGACCACGCUGGGGCAGAGUCGGGAGGGAAGGAAGCUGAAAUUCUACUUUGCAG
rnacentral:lncRNA from 1 species